UUGGGGAAUUUUCCGCAAUGGGCGAAAGCCUGACGGAGCAAUACCGCGUGAGGGAGGAAGGCUCUUGGGUUGUAAACCUCUUUUCUCAGGGAAGAAAAAAAUGACGGUACCUGAGGAAUAAGCAUCGGCUAACUCCGUGCCAGCAGCCGCGGUAAUACGGAGGAUGCAAGCGUUAUCCGGAAUGAUUGGGCGUAAAGGGUCCGCAGGUGGCUAUGUAAGUCUGCUGUUAAAGAACCUAGCUCAACUAGAUAAAAGCAGUGGAAACUACAAGGCUAGAGUGCGUUCGGGGUAGAGGGAAUUCCUGGUGUAGCGGUGAAAUGCGUAGAUAUCAGGAAGAACACCACGUGGCGAAGGCGCUCUACUAGGCCGCAACUGACACUGAGGACGAAAGGCUAAGGAAGCAAAGGGAUUUAAAUCCCCCUUGAACCCA
rnacentral:rRNA from 1 species